rnacentral:rRNA from 1 species
UACGGGGGGGGCAAGCGUUGUUCGGAAUCACUGGGCGUAAAGAGCGCGUAGGCGGCCUUGUAAGUGGGGUGUGAAAUCCCCCGGCUCAACCGGGGAACUGCAUCCCAUACUGCAUGGCUUGAGGGCAGCAGAGGAAACGGGAAUUCCCGGUGUAGCGGUGAAAUGCGUAGAUAUUGGGAGGAACACCAGUGGCGAAGGCGGCUCACUGGACCGGUACUGACGCUGAGGCGCGAAAGCGUGGGGAGCAAACAGG